rnacentral:rRNA from 1 species
UACGUAGGGUGCGAGCGUUGUCCGGAAUUAUUGGGCGUAAAGCGCUUGUAGGCGGUUUGUCAAGUCUGCUGUGAAAAUCCGGGGCUCAACCCCGGACGUGCAGUGGGUACGGGCAGACUAGAGUGUGGUAGGGGAGACUGGAAUUCCUGGUGUAGCGGUGAAAUGCGCAGAUAUCAGGAGGAACACCGAUGGCGAAGGCAGGGCUCUGGGACACUACUGACGCUGAGAAGCGAAAGCAUGGGGAGCGAACAGG